rnacentral:lncRNA from 14 species
GAGGAAUUACAAGGAGGUGGGCUGUUUAUGUUACUUGCUAGUUGGCUUUGCUGAGCUGGGAUGAAAAUGCAUCUUUGGUGUGGCCAGCCAAAGCGCAGGGGCAGAUUCCAACCGCCUGGGUUAAGAAAUAGGAGGACAAGGUGUAUAACUCCGUGGUAGAAAUGUUGAUAAUGACAGUGACAAUAGUGAUGCCUCAAAGAUCUCUUAAAAUUUAAACUGUACUCUGGAUUUUUUUUUUUUUGUAGCCAAUGCCAUUUCUAUCCCUUCUGCAAAGAAAAGGCAGUGAAAAUCAUUGAUGGGCUACUGAACUAAGUAAAACCUACAUCCUAGCUCUUCUGGCUUUGACAGUAAUUCGCAGCUGGAUUUGGCCUAGGGCUUUGCCUCACUGUGUUCCUUUCCAUUUGAAGGUCUUCAGAUGGAUACAAACCCAUUCAUCUCUGUAAAAAUCACCAGUCUAUGAUUCUAUGAAGGCGCAUUUUAUGUAAUAAGAACAGCUGAGAAAGAAAUGUAAGGAAAGAAGAGUGAAGAAUACGCUACGCCCUGUUGAUAGGGGCUACUUUUACUCACCAGACUCCUCAAACUCAGGAAGGGUACAGGAUGGUCACAGCUUUCAGAUUGUGAAUGAAGAGACCUUUGCCAAAGAAGUACUACCAAAAUACUUCAAACAUAACAAAAUAGCAAGCUUUGUUCGACAGCUCAACAUGUAUGGUUUCCGAAAAGUUAUUGCACUGCAGAGUGAAAAGACUAGCCUGGAGAAUAAAAUAACUAUUGAAUUUCAGCAUCCACUUUUCAAAAAGGGAGAAGCCUUCCUUCUUGCAAACAUUAAGCGAAAGGUGCCAACGAUAAAAACUGAAGAUGCCAACCUCUGCUCUGAUGAGUAUCAGAAAAUUAUGGCUGAAAUACAAGAGUUCAAAGACAUGCAGAAGAACAUGGAUACCAGAUAUGCACAAAUGAAACAAGACUAUUCCAAUCUAUGUCUUGAAGUUACAAACCUAAGAAAGAAGUACUGUGAGCAACAACAACUGUUGACACAGGUACUCCAUUUUAUCUUGAAUUUGAUGAGUGAAAACCAUACAGUACUAAAAAAGAGGAAAAGGUCAUUAUCAUUCAUAUCUGAAGCCUCAGAUUCUGAAUUGGAUCAUCAGUAUCUCCAUAUUCCAGACGACAAGAAAAAGGAAGCUAUGGAGAUAUUAAAAGAUGGUUAUGAACUUAUUGAAGACAAAUAUAAAAGUCUCCUUGAUAGAGUCUUACCAAUUUUAAAAGAACCCAAAAGUUUAAUUUCAUCUGCAGACCAGCCAAGUGGGGAUGAUGGAGAACACGCUGAAGUGUCCGUUCAGGAUAAACCUACAGAUGAAGAGUCGCUGACCAUUCAGUUGGAUUUGACCAUACCAGUUUUACCAGAACAAAUAACUCAAGAAUCCGUUGAACAAGAACCUAAGGAUAUUUCUUUGGAAUUAGAUCUUUCUUCCCAGGAUUCACCUUUGAUGAAAGAUGACUCAGACAAUCUGUAUAACAAUAUAAUUAACAGGGAUAAAAUGAAUGUGAAUCAUACUGAAGGAAAUUUGUUAGAGCUAAAUUCGAUACUAUCUUGGAAGGGAGUGGAUUAUGAUUCUGAUCAUUUCAGUGAGACAAACAUAUGGUACAAUGCAUGGAAAAACCAGAGCUUUUCCUUUUGGAUGGGACACCAAUAUGUGACUUUGGAGAAAAUCUUCAAGAUUAUGACAUACUUUUGGAUGAUCUGAAGGACCCCCCAAAUGUCAUAUCAGCUUUGUGCGACCAUGAUUAUGUAACCUCCAAUAUUUCCACUCUGCAAGAAGAUAAUAUUGAAAAUGAUGCUCCCCCAUUUUGUAUGGAAGCCAAUGGGGAAUCCAGUGUGUUCCCUUUUCUCUUUCUUAACCCUGUUAGUAAUAUUUUUUGAAAAGCAUAUCGAAACCAAUCUUCUGUUACAAUUUAUUUUAAGUCUCAGUGAAUCGCAUUUCCUCUGGGGAAACAGAUAUUCCAUGGCUGCUUGCUAGUGUAUGCAUCUUCAUUUGGAAAUAUCUGUAACUUAAAGACUGUGUUCAAAUUACAUCCUCCCAGUAUCUAG